UGGGAUAUAGCCAAGUUGGUAAGGCAUCCGGUUUUGAUCCGGAGAUGCUCAGGUUCGAGUCCUGAUAUCCCAG
rnacentral:tRNA from 1 species